AACGAACGCUGGCGGCAGGCCUAACGCAUGCAAGUCGAGCGAAGCCUUCGGGCUUAGCGGCGGACGGGUGAGUAACGCGUGGGAACGUGCCCUUUGGUACGGAAUAGCCCCGGGAAACUGGGAGUAAUACCGUAUGUGGUCGAGAGACGAAAGAUUUAUCGCCUAAGGAUCGGCCCGCGUUGGAUUAGGUAGUUGGUGGGGUAAUGGCCUACCAAGCCGACGACCCAUAGCUGGUUUGAAAGGAUGAUCAGCCACACUGGGACUGAGACACGGCCCAGACUCCGACGGGAGGCAGCAGUGGGUAAUCUUAGACAAUGGGGGAAACCCUGAUCUAGCCAUGCCGCGUGAUCGAUGAAGGCCUUAGGGUUGAAAAGAUCUUUCAGUGGGGAAGAUAAUGACUGUACCCACAGAAGAAGCCCCGGCUAACUCCGUGCCAGCCGCCGCCGUAACAC
rnacentral:rRNA from 1 species